UCUCUACUAUGAUUGCGGAUCAUACCUGCCUCCCCACGUAGAAUGCUUCAUUCACAUAUAUAUAUAUAUAUAUAUAUAUAGGAACGGAUUUAUUGAACAGUCGGGUACACAAGCCCCAGACAAGAAAGUAUCGUGACUGAGAGUGAGCUGAGAUUAUUCCUGAGCGAUCCCGACCAGCUACGCGCAUGGGUAACCAGUGUCACUGGUGCGGUGUGGCAGUCCUCGUAGAGCCUACCGUUGUGUGUCCCAAAAACCAUAAAAUGGCACCUGGGCUGUCUUCGUACAGGAGAGUGUAUAAAGCCACGCAUUUGUAUUUUCUGGUGAUCAGCUUCGAAUAAACAGGAAUGGAGAAUGGUCAACAUAAACGUAAAACCAAACACCAAUCCAGUGUUUUUGCAUCCACAGGCAGAAUUGUUAAACCUUCAAUUAUAUACGGUUCCUGCUUGCAGCGUCCGGAGCAACAUUCGUCCAACACCACGAGCAUCACACAAGUUCUACUGAUCACAACUGAACAUGAAUUGAGAGUUUUCCAACAAAAUGAAAAAUUAAUACAAGAAGAUAAAGCUAUGAAAACCAUAACUAAUAAUUACAUUAGUAUUAAUAACUCAAGAGCAUUCAAAUAUUUUU